rnacentral:rRNA from 2 species
AUCAACUUUCGAUGGUAGGAUAGAGGCCUACCAUGGUGGUAACGGGUAACGGGGUGUUAGGGCACGACACCGGAGAGGGAGCCUGAGAAACGGCUACCACAUCCAAGGAUGGCAGCAGGCGCGCAAAUUACCCAAUCCCGACACGGGGAGGUAGUGACAAUAAAUAACAAUACGGGGUCCUUUCGGGUUUCGUAAUUGGAAUGAGUACAAUUUAAAUCUCUUAACGAGGAACAAUUGGAGGGCAAGUCUGGUGCCAGCAGCCGCGGUAAUUCCAGCUCCAAUAGCGUAUAUUAAAGUUGUUGCAGUUAAAAAGCUCGUAGUUGAAUUUCGGGAUUAGUGCGCCGGUCGUGCCUUCGGUAUGUACUGGUGUUACUGGUUCCUACCUUCUGACGAACCGUCAUGUCAUUAAUUUGGUGUGGCGGGGAAUCAGGACUGUUACUUUGAAAAAAUUAGAGUGUUUAAAGCAGGCUCGCGCUUGAAUACAUUAGCAUGGAAUAAUGAAAUAGGACGUUCGAUCCUAUUUUGUUGGUUUCUAGGAUUGACGUAAUGAUUAAUAGGGAUAGUUGGGGGCAUUAGUAUUCAAUUGUCAGAGGUGAAAUUCUUGGAUUUAUUGAAGACUAACUACUGCGAAAGCAUUUGCCAAGGAUGUUUUCAUUAAUCAAGAACGAAAGUUAGGGGAUCGAAGACGAUCAGAUACCGUCGUAGUCUUAACCAUAAACUAUGCCGACUAGGGAUCGGAUGAUGUUAUUUUUAAUGACUCAUUCGGCGCCUUACGGGAAACCAAAGUGUUUGGGUUC